GUUGCAGUAAAUGAAAUAGAUUCAAUUGUUGGAGCAAUUAUCUGACAGCUGUCACAACAUGUGUGUAAUUUAAAAACGUAAAUCACACUUCAACUUAAACCGCAGAGACAUUAUCCCCUUAAUGGAAGGUGAGGCAUUAGGUAGGCUGUCAACAGUAAGUGCACAAACGUUUUAAACAGUUUAAGUCACCUCUGUAAAAUAACAUUUCUGUGGAACACUUUGUUUGCUUUGUCUUGUUUGAACCCAAAAAUAUUAUUUAUGUGUGAUGAUUGCUUCUCUAUUACGAUGAGGGUAAACUUAAGUUGUUUAUACGGCUCAUGUAUGUAAGAUCACACCAAUAUUAUUCUAU